UACGUAGGGCGCAAGCGUUGUCCGGAAUUAUUGGGCGUAAAGAGCUCGUAGGCGGUUUGUCGCGUCUGCCGUGAAAUUUCGGGGCUCAACCCCGAACUUGCGGUGGGUACGGGCAGACUAGAGUGUGGUAGGGGAGACUGGAAUUCCUGGUGUAGCGGUGGAAUGCGCAGAUAUCAGGAGGAACACCGAUGGCGAAGGCAGGUCUCUGGGCCAUUACUGACACUGAGAAGCGAAAGCAUGGGGAGCGAACAGG
rnacentral:rRNA from 1 species